rnacentral:rRNA from 1 species
UAGCUUAAAACCCAAAGGACUUGACGGUGUCUCAGACCCCCCUAGAGGAGCCUGUUCUAGAACCGAUAAUCCCCGUUAAACCUCACCACCUCUUGUCCUUUCCGCCUAUAUACCGCCGUCGCAAGCCUACCCUGUGAAGGGCCAUACAGUAAGCAAAACGGGCAAAACCCAAAACGUCAGGUCGAGGUGUAGCUUACGAGGUGGGAAGAAAUGGGCUACAUUUUCUACAACAGAACAUACACGAACAACACCGUGAAACCGGUGCUCAAAGGUGGAUUUAGCAGUAAAAAAUAAACAGAGAGUAUUUUUGAACCAGGCUCUGAGACGCGCACACACCGCCCGCCCGUCACCCUCAA